rnacentral:rRNA from 1 species
CCUACGGGUGGCAGCAGUGAGGAAUAUUGGUCAAUGGGCGCGAGCCUGAACCAGCCAAGCAGCGUGAAGGAUGACUGCCCUCCGGGUUGUAAACCUCUUUUAUAAAGGAAUAAAGUGAGGCACGUGUGCCUUUUUGUAUGUACUUUAUGAAUAAGGAUCGGCUAACUCCGUGCCAGCCGCCGCGGUAAUACGGAGGAUACGAGCGUUAUCCGGAUUUAUUGGGUUUAAAGUGAGCGUAGAUGGGUUGUUAAGUCAGUUGUGAAAGUUUGCGGCUCAACCGUAAAAUUGCAAUUGAUACUGGCAGCCUUGAGUGCAGUUGAGGUAGGCGGAAUGCGUGGUGUAGCGGUGAAAUGCUUAGAUAUCACGAAGAACUCCGAUUGCGAAGGCAGCUUACUAAACUGCCACUGACAUUGAGGCUCGAAAGUGUGGGUAGCAAACAGGAUUAGAUACCCCAGUAGUC